rnacentral:lncRNA from 1 species
GCUGGAGUGCAGUGGCGUGAUCAUGGCUCACUGCAGCCUCAAUCUCCAGGGCUCGUGUGAUCCUACCACCUGAACCUCCUGAGGAGCUGGGAUCCUACUACCUGAACCUCCUGAGGCGCAAUAUGCAUUGCGCCACCAUGCCCAGCUAAGACGUCUGAUUCAAUGUUGAUAGAAAUAUUGGGUGAGCAUCGUUGUGUUGUUCUUCAAGGGGGAAACAUGCUGUCUUUCACUGGUAGAAAUUGAACAAAAGCAUUCUUUGCUAUUAUACCUGGGUUGUUCUUCACUGUUCCCUGGGAAUCUGUUACGGAAAUUAUGCUGAGCUAAUAAUUCUGAUGGGAUGAUCUUCACUCAUGCAGACUGUGGCGUCAUGUAGAAGGAAGGCUAAUAUGGAUGUGAGGUUCAAGAUCAAGAUGGGCAACUGAUGGUCAGACUCCAGUGGUUCUUCAAAACUUUCUAGGAGGUAAACAAGAUGAAAGGGAAAGCACACAAAUUUGCUGGAAUUUGGAAAACACGAACCCUGGAAUUUGGAGGAGUCACUUCCACUGGAAAAUACUUUUAUAUUAUUUAUAGUGGCUACCAUUACCGUGCUCACUUUACAGGUGAGGUUCAGAGAUUUAUGUAACAUGCCAAAGGUCACACAGCUGGACACAGCAGAACCAAGAUUCAAAUCUGCACAGUAAAUGAAACCAGCCCAGCUGCGUGCUCACCUGAAACUUAUUUUCUCCUUCACGUUCCAAACUCAUGACUUGCUUGUGGCAGAAAAAAAGAACUACUUCGGGGUCCGCAACCCCUGGCAGUGGACCGGUACCAGCCCAUGGCCAGUUAGGAUCUGGGUAACACAGCAGCAGGGCCAUUUCAGUCCAAGGAGGAAUGGGACGCAUAGGUGACCACCAAAUAGUGAAGAAUAUGAAAAUCCAUGGUCAUCCCAGAAAAGAUGAGAAAAACUGAGGCUCAGAGAUGCAAAGUAGUUUUUCUAAGUAUUGGACUCAAAAGUCUUCAUUCUUUCUGCCACAAAAUGCUGCCUUAUAGCUGUCACAGCUAUGGGUAUACCACAGCACUGUGAAAUGGGAGAUUCCCUGAUCCCCCUGGCGGGAUGUGUGACAGGAGUAUGGCUCGCCUGUUCAGUUGCUGACACUGCUCAAAGCCCUGAUGGGAGGCGGGGCAUGCAGAUGGAUAGAUACAGGAGCUCAGGAUUGUUUUCUUCCAUCUGUGCAAAGUUCUACUUCCAUAGGGCAGGCCUUGUGCUGACCCAUGGAGGGCAUUGGAGAGGAAUCUUACUUGGUUUUUCUUGUAAAUUGGUAAGUCUUCUCCCUAUUCCUAUUCAAGGUCUAUAAGAGUAACUCUCAGAGGAGAGACUUGCAGUCAGACCUCCUAUUCCCCAAUGUUUUGAUGGUGGUGGUUCUCUGUUGCUUCUCUUAAAGGUCAAAAUCAUUAGCCUGAAGGUCUUACAUUUGGGGCAAGAAAGACUAAACCACCUGACUUAUUUUUGUCACAACUCAAAGGAAAGAUGGGAAUAUGGGUGAGAAGGACUGAUAUUCCCCAGGCAGAACUUUACAAGAACAGAAGGAAAUGUUUUCUUCAGAUGAUAAUCCAAGGAUGUGGUGAGCCCAGACAUGAGGGUAGUUGAGAAAGCAUGCCAGAGACUGUGCUGAAUGCAUUUGGAUUGCACAGGUUUGCCAGAUCCCAAAGCUAAUUAGGACUAGGCAGAAAGAGGCUCAGCACUCCACAGCCUGGCUAGUUCCCUUAAGGUAAUGCUUUUUUGAAGUCUGAGAAUAUCCCAUUGUUU